AUGCACAAUAAGAAGAAAGAGUUUCAAGUUCUAAAUUCUACUGGUAAAAUAAGCAAGGCAGUUCAUGCGAAGAUUGCUUCGAUGAGGGCAGAAAUUGCUGUAUAUACAAAUCAGGUAAACUCUGCUAUAGGUACACAUCAUCCAGAUGUGUCUAAAUGGCCAAUAAAGGAGUACGACAUGCCGAGACAAAAAGACGGAGUGUCUUGCCGACUUUUCGUGAUGAAGUGCAUCGAACUCUGGGACGGGGAUGCCUUCAGACAUGACUUUGACCAGGACGAGAUCAAUUCUUCAAGGGGACGCAUUCUCGCGGAAAUACUUUUUUCAGAGAGCAACACACUGACUAAGGUGAAGGAGAAGAUUCUGAAAAUUAUGGAGAAGGAAUAA
rnacentral:rRNA from 1 species